GAUGAACGCUGGCGGCGUGCCUAAUACAUGCAAGUCGAACGGUCCGCAAGGAUAGUGGCGAACGGGUGAGUAACGCGUUGGUGACCUGCCCUGGAGAGGGGGAUAACAGAUCGAAAGGUCUGCUAAUACCGCAUAAGCUCUGCCUAGUCAGAGCGGAUAGAGGAAAGCCGAAAGGCGCUCGAGGAGGGACCUGCGACCCAUCAGCGAGUUGGUGAGGUAGUGGCCCACCAAGGCGAUGACGGGUAGGGGACCUGAGAGGGUGGCCCCCCACAAUGGAACUGAAACACGGUCCAUACACCUACGGGUGGCAGCAGUAGGGAAUAUUGGUUAAUGGGCGAAAGCCUGACCCAGCAACGCCGCGUGAACGAAGAAGGCCUUCGGGUUGUAAAGUUCUUUUUAGCGGGAAGAGGAAGGACGGUACCGCUAGAAUAAGUCUCGGCUAACUACGUGCCAGCAGCCGCCGUAAUAC
rnacentral:rRNA from 1 species